rnacentral:SRP_RNA from 1 species
GCCGGGCGUGGUGGCUCACGCCUGUAAUCCCAGCACUUUGGGAGGCUGAGGCGGGUGGAUCACCUGAGGUCAGGAGUUCGAGACCAGCCUGGCCAACAUAGUGAAACCCUGUCUCUA